UACGUAGGUCCCGAGCGUUGUCCGGAUUUAUUGGGCGUAAAGCGAGCGCAGGUGGUUUAUUAAGUCUGGUGUAAAAGGCAGUGGCUCAACCAUUGUAUGCAUUGGAAACUGGUAGACUUGAGUGCAGGAGAGGAGAGUGGAAUUCCAUGUGUAGCGGUGAAAUGCGUAGAUAUAUGGAGGAACACCGGUGGCGAAAGCGGCUCUCUGGCCUGUAACUGACACUGAGGCUCGAAAGCGGGGAGAGCAAACAGG
rnacentral:rRNA from 1 species